rnacentral:rRNA from 1 species
CCUACGGGAGGCAGCAGUGAGGAAUAUUGGUCAAUGGUCGCGAGACUGAACCAGCCAAGUAGCGUGCAGGAUGACGGCCCUAUGGGUUGUAAACUGCUUUUAUGUGGGGAUAAAAUGCGUCAUGUGUGCUGUUUUGUAUGUACCGUAUGAAUAAGGACCGGCUAAUUCCGUGCCAGCAGCCGCGGUAAUACGGAGGGUCCGGGCGUUAUCCGGAUUUAUUGGGUUGAAAGGGAGCGUAGGGUGCAUGUUAAGUGAGCUGUGAAAUGCCGUGGCUCAACCAUGGAACUGCGGUGCAAACUGGCUAGCUUGAGUGCGCGAGAGGUAAGCGGAAUUCGAGGUGUAGCGGUGAAAUGCUUAGAUAUCACGAAGAACUCCGAUUGCGAAGGCAGCUAACGGGAGCGCAACUGACGCUGAGGCUCGAAAGCGUGGGUAUCAAACAGGAUUAGAUACCCUUGUAGUC